GAUGAACGCUGGCGGCAGGCUUAACACAUGCAAGUCGAGGGGCAGCACGGACUUCGGUCUGGUGGCGACCGGCAAACGGGUGCGGAACACGUACACAAUCUACCUUUAUCUGGGGUAUAGCCCGAAGAAAUUCGGAUUAAUCCCCCAUAAUAUAUUAGAGUGGCAUCACUUCGAUAUUAAAACUCCGGUGGAUAAAGAUGAGUGUGCGUCCCAUUAGCUAGUUGGUAGGGUAACGGCCUACCAAGGCAACGAUGGGUAGCUGGUGUGAGAGCACGACCAGCAAAACGGGCACUGAGACACGGGCCCGACUCCUACGGGAGGCAGCAGUGAGGAAUAUUGGUCAAUGGACGCAAGUCUGAACCAGCCAUGCCGCGUGAAGGAUGAAGGCCUUCUGGGUUGUAAACUUCUUUUAUUGGGGAAGAAAAUUACGGUUUCUACUGUAACCGACGGUACCCAAGGAAUAAGCACCGGCUAACUCCGUGCCAGCAGCCGCCGUAA
rnacentral:rRNA from 1 species